UAAUGGCAACAUAAUUUUUCUGUUUGUAAAUCUUUACUGCGUAUAUCAGCACAGACAUAAAAUUACCCCAAUAAGUGAUAAAACCUAAAUUUAAUAACGAACCUGAUACACCAUAUCUUUAACAAUAUCUACCCCUACUAUACGUGGAAGUAUUAUUACAAGAACCGACCGCACAAGCAUAGUUUAAAAAAAAAACUUCGCAUAACCUUGCUAAAUCAAUGCAAAAAGACACGUUGCUAUGGACUUAGCUUGGAAGACAUCCUCUCGGUCGCUACCUAUCGAUAUUUUUGUGGCAAGUGGUCUAUUGAAGCGCGCCAUUUUGAAUCGUAUGUAACCCACUUGUCUAUUAUCGCAUAUUCGUAAUGUGUUUUUUGGGUUAGUUUUAGGCAUGAAAAACUAAUUUAAUCUGCACCAAAAGUUAACCUACGGCAGAUUUUUAAACUCUUAUGCUUUUGCGUUUUUAAAAGCGACGAUUAACCCAACUUUUACUGACGAUUUACGUGAGAAACUUUAAAAUCCUAAAACAGUUUAACAAGGUGUUGCCAUAAUCCGGCAGUCUUCCAGUCAGUUGUUUAAAAUUUAUCUAUUGGUAAUUUAUUCUAGUUAAGAAUAAUACUUUUUUUAAAGGUUAAAAACUUAUUUAAUUUAAACAAAAAGUUUACAUAUGAUUAAAAACGCCCUGAAAAGUUUAAAUUAUUGGUACUAGUAUUGUCCAGACACCCAAUAUUUAUAUUAAUAUUGCAUUUUAUAGUAGAGGGAAGGUGGACACUAGUAAAAAAUCCUCCGAUACGUUACACAUUAGGCUGGUGGGAAGUGUUAGUGGCUGGUAGUUAUGGGUUAGUAGUUAGCAUAUAAUAUAAGGAUUCUUCGCUAGCACCAGAAAAAUAUUUGCAAUGUUUGUAUUUUACUGGAUUUCAAAUAACAGGCAUUGAUAAACGUUUUCAAUUGAUUGGUUAUUGAAAUUAUGUGAGAAUUUUUAUCAAUUUAUUCUUAUAGAUGUAUUAGUCAAUAGUUGUUUAUUAUGAAUGGUGCUUUCAUACAAAUAUAAUAUAGUGGUAGUGGUAGAGUAGUAUAUGAGAAAACAAACUACACUGUACAUACAAGUUUAUUUUCAAAGAAGUUUUAUAUCAACAUUAUGUCAAAACAGGAAACGCAAUGCAGUGCAUUUGGAUGCAGUAAAGGAAGAAAGGUUGAGGAGAAUCGUUAUUGAAGGUAAUGCAAAUAAAGAGACGGGUAUACGGCAAUAAAGAAACCCCAUUCACAAACUUAUCACUCUUGAGUCCUGAUGAUCAUACAGACAGUGUUUGCAACUAAAAGCAAGAAAAUCAUAUUUUAGAAAAGAAGAUAGGACAACACAACAGAUUAUAUAAAUCUACAAACAGUACAAUAAAAGUUUGCGAAGAAACUGAAAUAAAAGUUGAGGGGCUUCUUUUAACUAGCAAGGGGAAAUUACCAUAAAUGAAGGUAAAGGGAUGCCAUUAGCUAUUGUCGCAUCUGUUUUGUCGGAUAACAGUCAGUUGUAUGAACUAAAUGAUCAUAUGACUGAUUCUUAUGUUAUGGACAAGAACAACCAUGUAUUUCAUCUCAUCAAAUCAUCACUUGCAUUGGCAUAUUGCAACAUUCGGUUUUAUCAUCCAGGAAAGAAAUUCAAUCGAACUGUUGCUGGACAAUUGAGACCUGGAUUGAGUGGCUGGUAGAGAGAGAUUAGUUUCCACCACUGAUGCUCUUCACUGGAAACAAAUCACCAACAAGUAAAUAUAAAUAACUAACUGGAAGACUGCCGGAUUAUGGCAACACCUUGCUAAACUAUGUUUGGAUUUAAAAGUUUCUCACGUAAAUCGUCAGUAAAAGUUGGGUCAAAUGUCGGUUUUAAAAACGCAAAAGCUUAAAGGUAUAUAAUUACAGACUCAGUAAAAUAAAAUCCGACGUAGGUUAACUUUUUGUUUAGUUUA